rnacentral:piRNA from 1 species
UCGAAAUAACAAUUGUACUUG